UGGGGAAUCUUGCGCAAUGCGCGAAAGCGUGACGCAGCAACGCCGCGUGGGGGAAGAAGGCCUUCGGGUUGUAAACCCCUUUCAGUUGGGACGAAGCUUCGGCGGUGAAUAGCCGCCUGGAGUGACGGUACCUUCAGAAGAAGCCCCGGCUAACUACGUGCCAGCAGCCGCGGUAAUACGUAGGGGGCAAGCGUUGUCCGGAAUCAUUGGGCGUAAAGAGCGUGUAGGCGGCUUGGUAAGUCCGCUGUGAAAGUCCAGGGCUCAACCCUGGAAAGCCGGUGGAAACUGUCAAGCUCGAGUCCGGAAGAGGCGAGUGGAAUUCCUGGUGUAGCGGUGAAAUGCGCAGAUAUCAGGAGGAACACCAAUGGCGAAGGCAGCUCGCUGGGACGGUACUGACGCUGAGACGCGAAAGCGUGGGGAGCAAACA
rnacentral:rRNA from 1 species